AUAGGAAUAAUGCACUUCCUAAUGAAACAAAGACUCUGACGGGACUCUUAUGGGGAUAAGAAAAAAGAAAAAUGAGUGAGCAAGACACGACUCAGAAUUAGGGGAAAGAGAACUUGACAUUGCGUAAGCAGGUAACGAUUCAAAACUGGGGAAAAGAGUUCCAAAGGAAAACAAAUCCAAUGGAAAGACUCAAGCUGACUCAAAGAUGCCUGUGUUGGGGAAACA
rnacentral:lncRNA from 1 species